GAUCCGAUUAUGACCAUAUCCACGACGUCCAUUUGGGUUGCCAGGUGGGAUUUCACAGCCACGCUUACUUUCGUCGUCAGGAUCUAAUAAACCCUCCGUCGUUCCAAUCCAGCAAACCCCCAUCCUCCAUCGUCUGCUUCCUCGACCCUCCUCCUUCUGCCUCCGCUACUGAGCUUCUAGAAGUGCCCUAAAAGCCUUCUACCGCCUUAAAUCUCCACUACCGCCCCACAUCUCCCCCAUCCGCGCUUCUUCAUCUCAGCGAGCUUCUCCUCCUCCUCCGAUUUCUUCUUCUUCUCCCAAGAAGGUGGAGCACCUUCGCCGUCGAUCGAGCAUGGGUAUUUUUUUCUUUGUUCAACUUAUUUGUAUAUUUCUACUUUUUCAUGCUAUUUCUUUAAUUUUUGAUUUUAUGAUUUAUGAAGGAUCAUCGAAGGAGAAACAGAGUUUGUGGAGAUUGCGAGGUUUUGAAGAUUGGAUAGAACCUUUUCCCCUUGUGUGCACUCUAGGUAAGAGCUCCAAUAAUCACGAGUGAUGAUCUAGAGUUUCUCCCUACUUAUAAUGCCAUAGGAUGAUCUGAACUUAGUUUUUUUUUUUUUUGGUUUCUUGAUCUAAUCUGCAAUUUUUUUUCAUUGUACCACAUCCCUUGAUCUUUGCAAGCUAUAGAUUUUUCAUUUUUUUCAUAAUCUUGAGCUGAUUCUGGAGAGGUUCUUACUGAUCGGUGUUCUCAUUUUCUGAUUGAUCUACAAAAUUGCGGGUUCUAUGUUAGUUAUAGCUGGAAAACUUCUUCAUUGGUCAUCCAUUCCUUUCGCUGAGCUUAUAGGACCCUGGUCAGGUAUUAAUAUCUUAUAACUCAUUACCAUACUCCAUCAAUUUGGAUCCAAGGGGAUUCUUCAGUAGUUAUUUCUUGGCUCCAGAAGUUGCAAUACAAUUGCAUGACUCUCACCCCUUGGAUGCAAGAUAUCAAGCUGUGGCUUACUCGAUUUCCUCAAAUUAAAAUUUCUCAUAUUUGCAGGGAGGGAAAUCAAGCAACUGAUUGGGCUGCCCCGCAUGCCCUGUCAGGAGAUUUUGCUUUCAAUUCUAAUAUGUUAUGCUACCACCCUGACUUAGUCCACAUUUUGAAAGCUGAUGCAUAUUCAAUUGCAUAUCCGUGUCAUGGGCAGUUUUAAUAAAUACAUCUGGAGUUUUUUAUUCUAAGCAAUUUCUACAUUUCCUGAGAAAAUCAUUAAAUUCUGGGAUGAAUUUGGAGUUGUCAUACGGGCCAACUUCAUAUGUAACAUGGUUUUAUUGACUACGUAUGUCACUUGCAUCAUAUUAGGAUCUCGCUGCAUUAAGCAAUCUGUUAAUUAUUGCGCAUUCACCUACUUUAUUAUAUAUGUGGUUGGUUUAUGGUGUUACUUUUGUUCUCCUCCAGAACUAAGAAUCAUUACUUCCCCGGUGGAUGCUGGAAGAUAUGUGAGACCACUUCAUAAGCAGGAUUUCUCGAAACAUUUCCUAUACAUUAUUUGUCUAGAUGCUUAUUGGGUUCACUUUAUCUGGAACAGAUGCCCACAGAGUCUUUCCAGAUUAUGGUUUAUCGCUGGUUUAAGGCUUAUCAGACUCCACAGCUCCUUUAUAAAUUACCAUUCAUGUAGCUGGUAUUCAGUUUUGGUGCUCUUGAUCAUGUGCAGAAACUUGCUUUCCAACUGGAUAAAUGCUGAAAUAUUAUAUGAAAUGCAUAUAUAGUUACUAAUAUGACAACCAAUAGAAGAGAUCUCCAUGCUUUUCAAGAGAUUUAUGUGCUCCCAUAAUUCUAUGUUAUUUAAUAAAAUCAACUGUCUGUACAAUAAUUUUUUGUGUUCAUUACCAUUGGAUUGAUACUUUAUUUCCAAAGAAUGCAUGAAUGUGUUUCUCAUUUGUCUCUCAAAGCUUCUUUAGAAAAAACUUUAAUUUGGACAUUUGCUGUUUUGAACUGUUUAGAUGUUUCAUUCACUCAUAUAAUUUUCAUUCUGAAGUUACUGAUUGAAUGCAUCACUUCAGACCCCAGUCUUGAAAGAAUCUGGACUCUGGAUAGAGAAGCUCCAUUGUUCAGCAAUUUUUUCUCCCUUAAGUAACAUCUAUGAGUUGCAUAUUGUGUAUAUCUUGAUCAUAGCUUGUUUCCGUUCCACACAUCAGCAUUGAAAGACAUUCAUGUUUGAAUGAAUGAAGAUUGGCAAAUAGUAGUGUAAUACCCAGCCCACUUGGGCCUUAGACCAGGCCCAAAAUCUCAGAAGCCCAAUGAAAAAAAAAAGAGAAAAAUUGAAGGAGUCUUCUUGUUCCUCCAACCGACUCCUAUGGGGUCGAAAACCUUAUCGGGGAGGAGUCAAACUUCUCCCUCCGGCUCUAUUUAAGGGAGAGACCCUUCUCCCUCCUUCCCACCAAAGAAUCUCGGAGCGAAACGGCGAGGAUCGUCAGAAAUCGCUCGCGGAAGCCGUCACCGUGCUCGCCUCGAUUUCUCCUCGGAGAGGUCACUGGAGCUCGAGGUAAACCGCGAUCUCUCUUCCUCUCUUCUUUUCCUUCCUUUCCAUGUCUGUGAGCACGAUUGCCUGCGGAUGGAGUCAUCGGAUUUUGUUGGGGAAAAAGUCCCAUGUUUUCCAUUUUUCUUCUAAUUUCUCGCUGGUCAAACCAUGCCGUCAGCCAUCUCUGGCUCCACCGCCGCCUCCACCUGCUGCCGGAUCUCCGACUGUGCCACCACACCUCAUCGGAGCACGAGCCACCAAGUUCCCCCCUCGGUCCCUCCUCCAUUCGGCUAGGAAGGGAAAGAAGAAAAGAAAAGAAAGAAGAAGAAAAGAAAAGAAAAAGAAAAAGAAAAAAAAGAAGAGAGAGAAGAUUUUCUCUCUCCUCUCUCUCCCCUCUUCCUCCCUCUUUUCCUCUCUUCGCACUCCACUUUCUCUCUCUAUUUUUUCUCUCUAAAAUUCUCCUUUCUCUCUUUAAGAAAGACCUGUAGAUCAUGUAUCAGGCCAUUUUUUUUUCUUCUAGGGACCUAUGACCCCGAAUCGAUUUAGUGCUUGGAGGGUUUAUCUGACUGGUCAUUCAGUCAAUCACUUUCUAUUAUUAUUUAAUUUUUUUGAAUAUAUGGAAUGAAAAUUGAUCCUGAUUUAAUAUUUUAAAUAAGGUUAUCUGAUUCAUUUAAGGAAGACUAAAGAUCUAGGAUGAUUGAGGUAAGUAGAUCUUAUGUUCUUUAUUUAUUUUUAAAUGAUCAUGUUUCUAUGAAAAAAAUUAUUAUUGAUGAAAUCAUAUUUUUCAUAAAUUAAGGAUCAGCAUAUGUGAAGUCAAAAAUCAUAUUUUAUUAUGAGCAUUGAUUUCAUGAAUACAUUUUAUGAAAAUAGCAUGAUUAUGAAGCAUGAAUUUCAUUAUUUUUUUCAUCUAUGUAUACGUAUGUUUUAAAAAAAAUAUAUAAGGAUUUCAAAGGCUCUCAGAUAACUAUGAAUGAAUUCCUUCGGAAAGGUCGACAUCCGAAGCUAGCAUCCACAUGGAACAUGGCCCCACCAACGGGUAUAAAGCUGGCACAUGAAACAAGAAUUCUAUCGAUUAAGAAACAUGACCCUGUCACGGAUAUAAUAGUGAUCUUAGCACGAAUAUCUGAGAGCAAUAUUUUGAAACUUGACAUGAAUAUAUGACAAGAAUGAUUUAUGAUUCAUAAUUAUGAAAUAUACAUGAUUUUAUGCAUGCAUGAUUGAUUUAUGACUUAUUUUAUUAUAUGCUUUAUGAAAUAUUUUAUUUUGUAUUAUCUAUUAUUUUUUAAAUAUUACAUUAUCAUGAAAAACUUAUGCUUAAUCCGAUAAGGAAGCGCAAGUUCUACUUACUGGGCUAGUGUAACUUAUAUUUUUUUUUCUUAUAUAGAGAAAUAGGACUAGGACCGGUGAAGAAAAUUCAGGCUUUGGAGAUCUGCAAUGCAAGCUUGAAAAUUUUGUAGAUGAAGUUUUGUUAUAUGAUGAUCAUGAACUUAUAGUAAAUAAUUAUGAAUUUUGAGAUAUGAAUUUAUAUUUGCUUUCGGAUUUAAAUGCUCUGAACAAAUAUUGGUUUAAUUAUUUAAUGAAUAAAAGAAUUGAAUCUUUUUGUUUGAUAAAUUUUAGAUGAUUAUGAUGGAUUGGCUUCGUGUUAUCGUGGGCUCCAUCCCUCGGUAGCAUGGCCAUAUUAUAUUUUGGAUUUGGGGUGUGAUAGAAUGGUAUCAGAGCUUAGGUUAUAAUCAUUGAGGAUUAUGAUAUAAGUGAUUAGGAUAUGAUAGAAUAAUAUCAGAGUUUAGGUUUAAGAUCACUGAGAUUAUGAAGUGAUAUCAAAAUUUUAUGUAUGAUCAAUAGAAGGUGACAGAGUGGAGUAUGAUGGAUAAUAUCAGAGUUUAAGAUUAUGAUAAUUAAGGACAUGAUAGAAUGAUAUAAAGUUUAGGUUAUGAUCACUAAAGAAUAUGACUUAAGUGGUAUUUGAGCUUAAGGUUAUCAUUAUUCAGAAUUGUGACUUUAGUGAUAUUUAAAUUUGAGGCUAAGAUCAUGAGGAACAUGAUAAAUAUAAAAGAAAAGAUUCAAUAAUUUAAUUUUGAAUUAAUAGGCAUUAUGAUGAAAUUUAUGUAUAAGUGGCAUAUGAUGUCUAUAAUAGAAUUAACGAGUUAUAUCUUGGAUUUCAAUUAGUAGGGUUGAUCUGAGUAUGAGAAGUGUUGACCCUGGAAUGAAAUGGAAGAUAUUGAUAUGUUAUGUUGGGUAUAUUCGAUGACAUUGGAAUGCUAAACUUAUAUGAAUAAAGGACAUGAUAACUUUGUUGAUUUUGAUAUUAAUUUUUUUGCAAAGAAAAGUUGGUUUGAAAGUUGUCUAAAUGAUUGUAAGGUAAAUCGAAGGUUAACUCAAAUUAAUUCUACGCACAUUGGAUUCUUGAGGAGUGGUGAAGCUUAUGUAAUAAGUUAAAACAUAUAAGGUGGAUGAAGAUUUAAUUUUGAUAUGCUAUGCCUAAGAGAUAGUAAUGACAAGAAAACUUAAAAUUUUGCCUUGAAUUUUAUAUAAAAUUUGAAAGUUGAAUCUAUCUUUGAUUGAUUUAACAUACAAAGAUAUUUUUAUUUUUGAUAGACUUAGAUAAUUUGGUAAGUUGAGAUCAGAGUGUGUAGUAAAAGCAUGGUGGUCUGAAUUGAUUAGAAAUAUUAAUUUUUUAAAUCAAAAGAUAUUAUAGAAUACAUUAGUUGUAAAUAAGGAAGGAUUUUAUUGAUAAUGAAAGGAUACUAUAGAUCUUAAUCUAAUCUGAUCAUAGUCUGAUAAUUUUUGCCAGUAGGUUAUUUUAUUAUAGAUAAUGCCAAGAAGAACCUUAGAUAUCUCAAACAACGUAACUUAAUUUCGAGGACGAAAUUAUUUGAAGAGAGGAGAAUAUAAUAUCCGGCCCAUUUGGGCCUUGGAUCAAGCCCAAAAUCUCAGAAGCCCAACGAAAAAAAAAGAAAAAAAUUUGAAGAAGACUCCUGCAAGGAGUCGUCUUCUUCCUCCGACCGACUCCUAAAUGGGGUCGAAAAUCUUAUCGGGGAGGAGUCAAACUUCUUCCUCUGGCUCUAUUUAAGGGAGAAACCCUUCUCCCUCCUUCCCACCAAAGAAUCUCAGAGCGAAACGACGAGGAUCGCCAGAAAUCACUCGCGAAAGCCGUCACCGUGCUCGCCUCGAUUUCUCGCCAGAGAGGUCAUCGGAGCUCGAGAUAAGCCAUGAUAUCUCUUCCUCUCUUCUCUCCCUUCCUUUCCGUGCCUGUGAGCAAGAUUGCCGGUGACUGGAGUCAUCGAAUUUUAUCGGAGAAAAAGUCCCUUGUUUUUCAUUUUUCUUCUAAUUUCUCAUCAGUCGAACCAUGCCGUUGGCCAUCUCUGGCUCCACCUGUUGUCGGAUCUCUGACCGUGCUGCCAUACCUCGUUGGAGCACGAGCCACCAAGUUCCCCCCUCGCCUUGAUCCCUCCAUUCGGCCAGGAAGGGAAAGAAGAAAAGAAAAGAAGAAGAAAAGAAAAGAAAAAGAAAAAGAAAAAAAAGAGAGAGAAGAUUUUCUCUCUCCCCUCUUCCUCCCUCUUUUCCUCUUUUCUCACUCCACUUUCUCUCUUUACUUUUUCUCUCUAAAAUUUUCUUUUCCUUUAAAAAAGACUUGUAGAUCAUGUAUCAGGCCAUCUUUUCUCCUUCUAGGGACCUAUGACCCCGAAUCGAUUUAGUGCCUAGGGGGUUUAUCUGACUGAUCAUUCAGUCAAUCACUUUCUAUUAUUAUUUAAUUUUUUUAAAUAUAUAGAAUGAAAAUUGAUCUUGAUUUAAUAUUUUAAAUAGGAUUAUCUGAUUCAUUUAAGGAAGACUAAAGAUCUAAGAUGAUUGAGGUAAGUAGAUCUUAUGCUCCUUAUUUAUUUUUAAAUGAUCAUGUUUCUAUGCAAAAAAUUAUUAUUGAUGAAAUCAUAUUUUUAAUAAAUUAAAGAUCAGCAUAUGUGAAGUCAAAAAUCAUAUUUUAUUAUGAGCAUUGAUUUUAUGAAAAUAGCAUGAUUAUGAAGCAUGAAUUUCAUUAUUUUUUCCAUCUAUGUAUACGUAUGUUUUAAGAAAAAGAUAUAAAAAUUUCAAAGGCUCUCAGAUAGCUAUGAACGAAUCCCUUCAGAAAAAUCGACAUCCGGAGCUAGCAUCCACAUGAAAUAUGACCCCACCAACGGGUAUAAAGUUGGCACACGAAACAAGAAUUCUAUCGAUUAAGAAAUAUGGCCCUGUUAUGGGUUUAAUAGUGUGACCUUAGCAUGAAUAUCUGAAAGCAAUAUUUCAAAACUUGAUAUGAAUACAUGAUAAAAAUGAUUUAUGAUUCAUGAUUGUGAAAUAUACAUGAUUUUAUGCAUGCAUGAUUGGUUUAUGACUUGUUUUAUUAUAUGCUCUAUGAAAUAUUUUAUUUUGUAUUAUCUGUUAUUUUUUAAAUAUUAUAUUAUCAUGAAAAAUUUAUGCUUGAUCCGAUAAGGAAGCGUAAGUUCUACUUGCUGGGCUAGUAUAGCUCAUAUUUUUUUUUUUUCUUAUACAGAGAAAUAGGGCUAGGACCGGUGAAGAAAAUCCAGGCUUUGGAGAUCUGUGAUGCAAGCUUGAAAAUUUUGUAAAUGAAGUUUAGUUAUAUGAUGAUCACGAAUUUGUAGUAAAUAAUUAUAAAUUUUGAGAUAUGAAUUUGUAUUUGCUUUCGGAUUUAGAUACUCUGAACCAAUGUUGAUUUAAUUAUUUGAUGAAUAAAGGAAUUGAAUCUUUUUAUUUGAUGAAUUUUAGAUGAUUAUGAUGGAUUGACUUCGUGUUAUCGUGGGCUCCAUCCUUCGGUAGCAUGGCUGUGUUAUAUCCCGAAUUUGGGGAGUGACAAGUAGACCAAAAUGUGCUUAUAUCUCAGUUUAAUUGCUUCAAACAACCUUUCAGAAGAUAGAUAAGACCCUUUGCUUCCCACCCUUUUUGUCAGAUGUUAUUGAUGGGCCAUGUUUCAGAUGUUUAAAGUUUGGG
rnacentral:lncRNA from 1 species